GGGCGCAUAGCUCAGUUGGUUAGAGCACCUGCCUUACAAGCAGGAAGUCACAGGUUCGAGUCCUGUUGCGCCCA
rnacentral:tRNA from 1 species